rnacentral:lncRNA from 1 species
GGCCCAAGGAAUGCCUUGGACUCUGACCAAUCAUAUUAACUACUCCUCCUAGGAGCUGAGGGGCCUAGGAAAGCCUUUUUGGGGCGGUAGUCCUGAGAAAAUGGAGCAGAAAUGUUCUCUCCCAAGAUCUGCAAAGUUGAACCAUAUACCUCUAGUGUAACCAAAGGGCUACUGAGAUUAAAAAUUGAGGUGGGGUUGAUGGUGGUUAUGGUUAGAGUCAUUGUUUCCUUAGUGUUUUUAUGUUCUCAGCCUAUGAGUGUUUGCCACUUCUACAGACCCCAGUUCUUCGGAAUUUCUCAUUAGAAACCUCAAGAAUUACCUAAAGGCGUUAGGGGUGUUUUUCUGCUAUCUUCUGGCUUCUUCCGUUGGUGUUGAGAAAUCUGCUGUCAUUUUCAUUUGUUUCUUUGUAGGUAAGAUAUAUUUCUCUCUAGCUGUUUUAGGAUCGUUCUCUUCAGUUUUCUGUAGUUUCACUCUGAUGUGUCUUGAUGUGGAUUUCUUUUUAUUUUUCUGGAUUGCAGUUCACUGAGUUUCUUUAAGAAUUUGGGUCUCAUUAAUUC